rnacentral:rRNA from 1 species
AUUGAACGCUGGCGGCAUGCCUUACACAUGCAAGUCGAACGGCAGCAUUAUCUAGCUUGCUCGAUUUAUGGCGAGUGGCGCACGGGUGUGUAAUACAUCGGAACUUGCCCUGUUGUGGGGGAUACCUAGUCGAAAGAUUAGCUAAUACCCCUUACGACCUGAGGCUUAAAGUGUGGGACUGCAAGUCCUCAUUCUAUAGUUGCUGCCUAUUUCUGCUUUGCUAUUUUGUGGGGUAAAGGCCCACCAAGGCCACGAUCAGUAGCUGGUCUCAGAGGGGGAUCAGCCACACUGGAACUGAGACACGGCCCAGACUCCUACGGGAGGCAGCAGUGGGGAAUUUUGGACAAUGGGGGAAACCCUGAUGCAGAAAUGCCGGGUGUGUGAAGAAGGCCUUCGGGUUGUAAAGCACUUUUGUAAGGAAAGAAAUCGGAGAGAGUAAAAAUAGGUGUGAAUGACGGUAACGGAAGAAUAAGGACCGGCUAACUACGUG